rnacentral:rRNA from 1 species
UACGAAGGGGGCUAGCGUUGCUCGGAAUCACUGGGCGUAAAGCGCACGUAGGCGGAUUGUUAAGUCAGGGGUGAAAUCCUGGAGCUCAACUCCAGAACUGCCUUUGAUACUGGCGAUCUCGAGUCCUGGAGAGGUGAGUGGAACUGCGAGUGUAGAGGUGAAAUUCGUAGAUAUUCGCAAGAACACCAGUGGCGAAGGCGGCUCACUGGCCCGGUACUGACGCUGAGGUGCGAAAGCGUGGGGAGCAAACAGG